rnacentral:rRNA from 1 species
AGGACGAACGCUGGCGGCGUGCUUAACACAUGCAAGUCGAGCGGUAAGGCCCUUUCGGGGGUACACGAGCGGCGAACGGGUGAGUAACACGUGAGCAAUCUGCCCUUCACUUCGGGAUAAGCCUCGGAAACGGGGUCUAAUACCGGAUAUGACCAUGCCAUGCAUGUGGUGUGGUGGAAAGUUCUGGCGGUGAGGGAUGAGCUCGCGGCCUAUCAGUCUUGUGGUGGGUAAUGGCCUACAAGGCGUUCGACGGGUAGCCGGCUGGAGAGGGUGACCGGCCACACGUGGGACUGGACGACCGCGGCCCAGACCUCCGUACGGGAGGCAGCGAGGUGGGAAUAGUGGACAAGUGGGACGAAAGCC